rnacentral:rRNA from 1 species
UCGGACUGCGGUAGUGUUCUAUUCUGAAUACUGCUGUGGAAAGUUUAGUGAACCUUAUCACUUAGAGGAAGGAGAAGUCGUAACAAGGUUUCCGUAGGUGAACCUGCGGAAGGAUCAUUC